rnacentral:rRNA from 1 species
GACGAACGCUGGCGGCGUGCCUAAUACAUGCAAGUUGAACGCUAAAGCUUUAACUGGUGCUUGCACCGACUUAAGUUUUUAGAGUAGCGGACGGGUGAGUAACACGUGGGUAACCUGCCCAUCAGAGGGGGAUAACACUUGGAAACAGGUGCUAAUACCGCAUAAUUCCUUUUACCGCAUGGUAAAAGGCUGAAAGGCGCUUCUGGUGUCACUGAUGGAUGGACCCGCGGUGCAUUAGCUAGUUGGUGAGGUAAAGGCUCACCAAGGCUGUGAUACGUAGCCGACCUGAGAGGGUAAUCGGCCACAUUGGGACUGAGACACGGCCCAAACUCCUACGGGAGGCAGCAGUAGGGAAUCUUCCACAAUGGACGAAAGUCUGAUGGAGCAACGCCGCGUGAGUGAAGAAGGUUUUCGGAUCGUAAAACUCUGUUGUUGGAGAAGAACGUACGUGAGAGUAACUGUUCACGUAGUGACGGUAUCCAACCAGAAAGCCACGGCUAACUACGUGCCAGCCGCCGCGGUAAAAC